UGCCAGACUCCUACGGGAGGCAGCAGUGAGGAAUAUUGGUCAAUGGGCGGGAGCCUGAACCAGCCAAGCCGCGUGAAGGAAGAAGGCGCCAGGCGUCGUAAACUUCUUUUGUCGGGGAACAAAGGGCGCCACGCGUGGCGUUGUGAGUGUACCCGAAGAAAAAGCAUCGGCUAACUACGUGCCAGCAGCCGCGGUAAUACGUAGGGGGCAAGCGUUAUCCGGAUUUACUGGGUGUAAAGGGGGCGCAGACGGCGAUGCAAGCCAGGAGUGAAAGCCCGGGGCCCAACCCCGGGACUGCUCUUGGAACUGCGUGGCUGGAGUGCAGGAGGGGCAGGCGGAAUUCCUGGUGUAGCGGUGAAAUGCGUAGAUAUCAGGAGGAACACCGGUGGCGAAGGCGGCCUGCUGGACUGCAACUGACGUUGAGGCCCGAAAGCGUGGGGAGCAAACAGGAUUAGAUACCCCCGUA
rnacentral:rRNA from 1 species